rnacentral:rRNA from 1 species
AUUGAACGCUGGCGGCAGGCCUAACACAUGAAAGUAGAACGAGUGGCGGACGGGUGAGUAAUGUCUGGGAAACUGCCUGAUGGAGGGGAAUAACUACUGGAAACGGUAGCUAAUACCGCAUACCAUCAUCCGUGCCCAGAGGGGAUUGGCUAGUUGGUGGGGUAACGGCUCACCAAGGAGACGAUCCCUAGCUGGUCUGAGAGGAUGACCGGCCACACGGGAACUGAGACACGGUCCAGACUCCUACGGGAGGCAGCAGGGGGGAAUAUUGCACAAGGGGCGCAAGCCUGAUGCAGCCAUGCCGAGUGUAUGAAGAAGGCCUUCGGGUUGUAAAGUACUUUCAGCGGGGAGGCGUUACCCGCAGAAGAAGCACCGGCUAACUCCGUGCCAGCAGCCGCGGUAAUUC